rnacentral:rRNA from 1 species
UACGUAGGGUGCAAGCGUUGUCCGGAAUUAUUGGGCGUAAAGAGCUCGUAGGCGGUCUGUUGCGUCGGCUGUGAAAACCCGGGGCUCAACCCCGGGCCUGCAGCCGAUACGGGCAGACUAGAGUUCGGCAGGGGAGACUGGAAUUCCUGGUGUAGCGGUGGAAUGCGCAGAUAUCAGGAGGAACACCGGUGGCGAAGGCGGGUCUCUGGGCCGUAACUGACGCUGAGACACGAAAGCGUGGGAGCAAACAGG